UGUAAAGUAUAUAAAGAAACUAUUAUGGAUAAAUAGCUAUAUAUCACAGAAAUAUGAUUUUAGGUGUAUGCCUAUGAAUUCUUGGAGAAAUCCGAUUUGUAAACGAAGUGAAUUGAAAUAUCUUAGUAACUUCAGGAAAAAAAAUCAAAUGAGAUUCUCUUAUCAGCUAAUAACUGAUGAAGAAUAGCCUUUUAAGUAAAAUGGAAAUAAUCUGUUUGAAUCUAGGGAAACCUUUCUCUAAGGCUAAAUAUGAUAUAUAAGCGACAGCAAAUAAGUAGCGUAAGGGAAAUAUUUGAAAUAGUAGUUUUAUAAGCAGCUCAAGUUUAAUCUGAAAAAUAGAUGAGAGCGUACCUUUUGCAUAAUGGGUCAGCAAGUUAAUGUUAGAUGCGAGAUUUAAAUGUAUCCCAGAUAAACCAAUUAUUAAUUAAUGAAUAAGUAUCUAAUAUUAGACCCGAAGCCUAGUGAUCUUACCAUGAUCAGGGUUAUAAAAGCCCGAACAGGUUAUCGUUGUAAAGAUAUCUGAGGAAUUGUGGUAAGUUAGUGAAAGACAAAACUGACUAGGAUAGCUGGUUUUCCGCGAAACCUAUAUAAGUAGGUAGUUUAAAGGCUAUUUUUAAUUAUAAACUCGAUGCAAAUUUGAAGUAAUAAUAAAACCGCCACACAUCAUUGCAGGUACAGAAUUGUGAUCUCAGACAAAUUAUGAUUUUUUAUCAGUUUGUAUACAUUGGGGGGUCGUGAAGACUUUAUCAGUGAGGAUUUGCUCUCGGAAGGGCAAUGAUGAAUAUUAAACUGUCAGACAUAGUACGAUAAGGUUGUAUGUCUAAAGGGAAACAGCCCAGAACAAGAGUUAAAGGUUCCAAAAUUAUUGUUAAGUGAAAUUAAGGAAGUUUUUUUCGAAUACAACCAGGAAAUAGGCUUAGAAGCGGCCAUUUUUUAAAGAUCUCGUAACAGAGCACUGGUUUAUUAAUAGUUAGUUAUCCGAAUCCAUUUCACUGCGAAAAAUAGUGUAUGUAACAACCGUACAUAAUACAGUAGUCUAUAUGUGUUCAUCGAUAAUAAAGUUUGUUUUUAAAGACAUUAAACUAACUGAGUUAAACGCACCGAAAAUUUAACGGAUCUAAACAAUAUACCGAAACCUUGUACAUAAAUAGUAUUUAUUUAUGGGGUAGCGGAACAUUGGGUAAUCUUAGAAUUAAUAUCAUUGAUAUUAUUUAAGUUAAACCUUAAACUAUAAUAAAAUUGUGAAAGACUUUAUUAUGUUCUAGAUUUUAACGAGAUAACCCCAAGCGAGAAUGCUGACAUGAGUAACGAAAAAGGGAAAUCCCCUCGCCUUAAGCUUAUGGUAUUUUGUUAAAGUAACGGCCCCUAAGUUUAUUGAUCUCACCUAAAGGAUUAAAUGAUGGGAAAACCUUAAUAUAUAUCUUACAACUUUUAUUUUUCUUAAUUAACAGGGAAAAAGAGAUAUAUAAAGUUCUGGAAAAAGAUAUGUAUAUUAUUAACCGUACCUAGAAACUACCACAAGUAAGCAAGUAGAGUAUACAAAGGCGUUUGAGAUAACAAUCAUUAAGGAACUCGGCAAAUUGACACUGUAACUUCGGGAUAAAGUGUGCCAUUAUUCCUAACUUAUAUUAGGUUAAUAAUAGGAGACAUAAAAUGGUGUUGUACGACUGUUUAAUUAAAACAAAGCACUUUGCAUAAGAUUAUAAAUCAAAGUAUUGAGUGUGAUUUCUGCCCGAUGUUGGCUGGUUAACGGAUUUUCUUAGCUGAAUCUUAGUAGGCUAGGUUUUGAAGGAAACCCCAAUCAAUGGCGGCCUUACCGAUGAGGGUCCUAAGGUAGCGGAAUACCCUGGCCGUUAAAUGCGGUCUUGCAUGAAUGAUUUAACGAUACAACAGCUGUCUCAAUGAUUGUCUCAGUGAAAUUGGAAUAACUGUGCAGAUACAGUUUUCUUCUAGUUAGACGAGAAGACCCUAUGCAGCUUUACUGUUGCUAGUAAUUG
rnacentral:ncRNA from 1 species